CAAUGGGGCGGGCUUACCAUGCAGUCGAGGGGUAACAUUGUGCUUGCACAGAUGACGACCGGCGCACGGGUGCGUAACGCGUAUAGAACCUACCUUUUACAGAGGAAUAGCCUUUAGAAAUGAAGAUUAAUGCCUCAUAGUAUUGAGUAAUCGCAUGAUUAUUUAAUUAAAGAUUUAUCGGUAAAAGAUGGCUAUGCGUCCUAUUAGUUAGUUGGUAAGGUAACGGCUUACCAAGACAUCGAUAGGUAGGGGUCCUGAGAGGGAGAUCCCCCACACUGGUACUGAGACACGGACCAGACUCCUACGGGAGGCAGCAGUGAGGAAUAUUGGACAAUGGAGGAGACUCUGGUCCAGCCAUGCCGCGUGUAGGAAGAAUGCCCUAUGGGUUGUAAACUACUUUUAUACAGGAAGAAACACUGGUAUGUAUACCAGCUUGACGGUACUGUAAGAAUAAGGACCGGCUAACUCCGUGCCAGCAGCCGCGGUAAC
rnacentral:rRNA from 1 species